GACGGAGGAUGCAAGUGUUAUCCGGAAUCACUGGGCGUAAAGCGUCUGUAGGUGGUUUAAAAAGUCCACUGUUAAAAAUUGAAGCUUAACUUCAAAGAUGCCGUGGAAACUUUUAACUUGAGUAUGAUAGGGGUAGAGGGAAUUUCCAGUGGAGCGGUGAAAUGCGCAGAGAUCGGAAAGAACACCAACGGCGAAAGCACUCUGCUGGGCCGACACUGACACUGAGAGACGAAAGCUAGGGGAGCGAAUGGG
rnacentral:rRNA from 1 species